rnacentral:hammerhead_ribozyme from 1 species
ACCUAACCGAUGAGUUCCAAAUAGGACGAAAUGUGUGUCCUGGAU